UUUCGAAGCGAUUUCGAAGAUUCAGAUCGAUUUCGAGAUUCAGAGCGAUUUCAAAGCUCCAUCGCCACCACCUCUGCACCGGCGAGAGAUUCAGAGAUGCAGUGAUUCAGUGAUUUCAGAGCGAUUUUGAUUUCGAAGCUCCAUCCCCACCACCAUCUGCACCGGUGAUUUUGAUUUCACUAAGGUUGACGUUCACUUGUGAAGACCAUGUCUCAUCACCAAGUGGAUGAUGCUGAAUACAUGGCAGAUAAAUAUGAAAUGGAAGAUGUGGAUGAUGAUAUGGACGAGGAGUUUCGUGGAAGAGAGAUGGGUGGCUCAGACUCUGAUGUGGAUGAAUAUGACUACUUGGUUUGUGAUAUAAACUUUAUAAAGUUUGAACCAUAGUUUGUUGUCAUGAUAUGCUAUCUAACUGCAAGUCUUACCACUUUUCUUUGUUUAUUUCUCUCCUAUUGGCAUGUUUUUUCUCUCUUUUUUUCAAGUAACUUUUAGAUGUUUUUUCCCAUCAAGCUCAGGAUAUAUGAAAUACUAACUGUUUGGUACCUAUUUAGAAUAAUAAAAUGGCAUAUACUUCUGCUGCUCAAGCUAGGAGAGGUAAAGAUAUCCAAAGAAUUCCUUGGGCGACAGUACUAUUUUAAUUACAUUUUACUAUAAGACAUGCUGUGUGUUUUCACUCAUUUUAAUUGCAUUUGUAUUGGCAAUCUUCUACUAUUUUAAUUAGCUAGAAAAAUGCUGAUAAGUUUUACAUGCAUUACAGUAGCUAAUAUUUCCUGCUUUUAAUCCUUUAGGACUUUUAAGUAUAAGCAAAUCUCUCAAUAGUUCUGUAUGUUCAUCAUAUUACUUUGACUUGAUUUAGUUUGAUGCAUGGAAGUUAAUGCGCAUUUAGAUGGGCAUUGCUGCACAUUAUUUCCAUUGAAGCUCAUUACAAUUCAUUUGUGAAUGCAUUGUCAUUGUACGAAGUUUUGUUAAUCUACUCGCUUUGGCAUCAUGGGCAUUUCAUUGAAAGUUUGCAUCUGAUAUUUACUGAAACCGGCCAAUAUAAUUUAUAAAUAGAUGAGUUUCUUAUUGGAAAAAUAAAACUCAAUCUUCCACCUUAUCAAUGUUCUUUAACUUGUUGGAUUUGAAUUAUGUAUCUUCUCUCUGUGUUUUAGAUGUUUUGCACUAGGUUUGCUUUGAUCUAAAUCCUCUUGAAUUGGUGUAGUAGUAUGGAUCUGGAUUCACACACACAUUCAGAUACACAAAACAUGGAGUUAGGUUUUUUGUACUGUGGUUGGUUGAUCUGAGAUGUAUGUAUCUGAGAUGUACAAAUCAUUAUGCGUGUGUACAAAUAUAUAUUUUUUUUCAUUCACUUUCUAGAUAAAGGUGAAAAGCUAUACCACACUAAAAUUAUUUGGGAGGGUGAAAGGAACUUGAGAAAGUAGAGCACUUGGGAUUGCUUAACAUAAAGGGAAACAUAUUAUUAGCAGCCUCUCGUAACCAAUGGAGACUGGAUCUAUAUAAUUAUGGAUACCGGUCUUUUUAUUUUUAAAGAAUCUAUAUAAGAUGUUGUACAAAUAUUUCUUGUUUAAAUUAUUGAUUGAGAUGUCAAUUUCUUUAAAUCAUCUUCAAAUCUAACUAAGGCAGGUCAAAAUUUUCUUCAACGUUCUUUUUAAAUUUCAUCAAAACACUGGUAGUCUAAUAUAAGAUGUACAUAUAUUUGCUGGUAGUCUAAUAUAAGAUGUACAUAUAUUUGGUGCUUAAAAACUGAAGAUAAUUGGCCUAUUGGCUCACAAAAAAAUAAAGCUUUUGCACAAAAAAAAUACAGUUUGUGACAGAAAUUUAAUCUACCAAAUAGCUGCCAUUUUAUGUAUAGUUUAUCCUUUAUAGAUUUUAUGAGUAUACUAUUAAGCUUAAACUUUAUUGUUGUUUGAAGUACUAUAUAAACCCUCAUUUUUUCAUUAAUAAACUUAACUUUUUUUUUCUUUUAUGUGAAAACUCAUGCAAAACCAACUUAUUAGAACUUUCAACUCAAGAACAUAGUUGUCUAUCAUUGUUCUAAACUUAGUCAACACAUUUUUGUAUAUGGCCAACACAUACAUUAUUGUCCCAACAGCAGACGACUACUCCAUAAGCCUUGGAGCUGCUGCAACCGUUUGCGGUGUUGUGAUUGGGGCAAUGGCAGUUGCACAUGUGUUUUCUUCAAUAUACUUCAGUGUGUGGUCAAAUAUAUCGUACUUCAGACCUCUUGUAUUUAGCAGUAUUGUUCUUCUUGUGGGGAACACCUUAUAUGCCUUGGCUUAUGAUCUUGACUCCAUAUAUGUUCUUCUAAUCGGCCGCCUAUGUUGUGGGUAGGUGAUCAUAUUCUCAUUCUCAUUCUCCUUCCUUCAUUUGUUAAAAUAUUUGAAAGUUUGUGUAUUAUUUUACUUAACAAGUCUGCUUAAAUCCUAUUAUAGACCAUUUUGCAUUCUUCUUUUUUUUUUUUCCUGGAAAUUUUUGUAUGCUCAAACUCAUUGCACAAUAUCUUACAAUGCUUUCGCCACAAUAACUAGACUAACUUAGUCAACUGAUUAGUAAAAAAUUUAAUUUAUAUUUAGUUACAAAUGUUGCCUUAGCAUAAUUUGAGAUCUGAAGAAAAAUUCAAUACAUUUUCAUAUUUUGUUGUGUUCAAUAAAUUUUUGAAAGAUUUUUGCAGAGAUAUCGUACUUCUUAAGUGAAUCUAAAAACUAAAAAAAUUUGAUUAAAAUGUUAAAAAAAUUCACUGAAAACAAAAACAUACAGAUUGAAAACUCAAAAAAUUAUUUUUGAAAACUUAAAACCAAACAGAGUGAAUAUAUUCUCUGGGUAAGAUAGCAUCAAGCUAAUAUGUUUAGCUCAUACCUCAUCGGAUUAAGUCCUGACUCAUUGGAAUUUUUGCAUUUUAUAAUGAUAUAUUUUAUAUGGAAAUAUUAUUCGUGUUCAUUUGUUUACAUAACAAAUCAACAAUGCUAUGUUUAUCAAUCUUGCACGUUGGGUUCUGCCAGAGCUAUUAACAGGCGUUAUAUCAGCUAUUGUGAACCUCUUAAAAUGCGAAUGCAGGCUUCUGCAGGUUUUGUUAGUGCCAGUGCCCUUGGAAUGGCAUGUGGUCCUGCUCUCACUUUCUUACUCCAAACGCAAUUUAAGCUCUUCAAUAUUACAUUUAAUGAAAACACUUUGCCCGGAUGGGUUAUGGCUCUGGCAUGGCUCAUCUACUUACUGUGGUUGUGGAUUUCAUUCAAAGAGCCAUCUUCUUAUGAGGCUGAAGAUAGUGUUGCAUCACAGGACGCGAAAACUGCAGGUUGACCUAACAGUAGUUUCCAGAUGUUGAGAAUGAGGGUGCUUCCAGAUGUUGUGUUGAGCACUAGUCCUGUUCAAUACUUCCCUUGUUCGGCUCGAAUUGCUCCCACAAUGUCAAUAUCAUAGGUUUAAUGCUGCAACCUCUUGCAAGAAAGACUCAGUGCGAGCAUUAUCGUGGACACUUUUAACUUUGAUUUUGCGAGUUGGUGCAACUUGUAGGACCGCAAAUAACACAUCUGCAAGUAAUAACAGUACAGUAUGAAUUGGUAUACCUAUGUGUCACAUUGUGUAUUAAGUAGAUGGACAAAUCUUACUUAUGUCUUGUGGCGGCUGAUCGUAGCGUUGAAGAUCAGUCAACUGAACAAAGUCAGGUGCGAAGUUGUGGAUAGUUAGCUGGUCAUCACUUAUUUCUUCAAUGCAUGUGCGCCCAGAUAUGGUCCUCUAAUAUUCGUCGAUGACAAGACGAUGUUCAACUGGAAUGGACUUUACAAUCGCAUUUGAAAUUGAAUAGGCAAUAAACAGUUGCAAAGUGUUCUCCAAAAUUUAAAUGUCGUCACCAAAAAUUGAUGCUUGUAUUUUGAGAUGUAAAACUGCUGAAUUUUGAGAUAUAAAACUUUUAACAUAUAUGAAGUUCAAAAUUCAGCAAGUUGAAACAA